rnacentral:lncRNA from 1 species
UUUUAAGGUUCUAAGAUAUUAUAAACCAAAGAAUCUGUGAUGCUCAGAUUCACACAUCUUUCCUUUUGUUGUCUCAGCAUCUGUCGAGGGCAUCUACAUCCAUGCUGAGGAGCUGGCAGUCUGAUGGAAGAGGCAGGACAGGGACCCUCUGCUGUCAUGCGAACUGCAUGUUUGCUGGGCCUCUAGUUUAAUGACUGACAAUCUACUAGAGGGCCAAGAAGGCCAAGUGAAGAGUAUCGCAUGGAACAGAACUAUCGUACAGAAUUCACGUCAGCAGGAGCACAGUCUAGACACUGCUCAGCCUGGAUGAAGCCUACAGAAUUGACGCCAGAGGCCAGACGGAGACGAAGCAGUAACUGUCAUGCCUUCUCUGUGCACCCAGCAGUGCCACCACCCGCCCUCUGCUGCUGUAGGUACGAUAUUGGGUGGCACUUGCCCACAAGCACCUCAAAGGCAGAGACGGCCCUGUAACCUCUGUGUUCUUUUUUUAAUGUUAACGUUCAAUAAAGGCAAUGGUACAGUAUUCCUGUGAGUGACUUUUCUUCCUCCCCCACCCCCUCUCAUUCCCCCAGUUCCCCAGCUAGGGCCAGGCCUGGGGAUGCCGAGAGGGAGCUGGGAGGGCAGCGCACCAACCUCAGCUUCUUCAGGCCGGCCCCGGGCUCCAAGGGGCAAUCCCCAUCCCCGGCCCAGAGCCGGGGACAGAACCUCUAGACCAGCCGGCUCUGACCUCAGGGCCCCUCUGCCCCUCUACUCCUCACCUCCAGACAGCUGCCCUCCCACCCCAGGGGAGGCCAGCAGGUCCUUCAAUGGCUGGGGAAACUCACAGAUCACAGACUCAGUGGCAUCUGAGCAUUUCAGAGCUGCUGGUCUUAGAAUUUGUGAUUCAUUACUUAUUUAUUUCCCUAACAG